CUCGUGUCUCGUAAAACUGUCUUCUACACAAAUGUCUAUUAAAUAUGUCUUGAUAUGUUGCCUACUUCCACAGGUGUUAACUCAAGAAUGUAUAUUUCCUGAAAACGAUCCUGAGCACACAGCAGCAAUUGAUCUCGUCUAUGGCAGAGAGUAUUGCAUUGAUAUGUUUGGUAAAUUUU